rnacentral:rRNA from 1 species
GAUGAACGCUGGCGGCGUGCCUAAUACAUGCAAGUCGAGCGAAUGGAUUAAGAGCUUGCUCUUAUGAAGUUAGCGGCGGACGGGUGAGUAACACGUGGGUAACCUGCCCAUAAGACUGGGAUAACUCCGGGAAACCGGGGCUAAUACCGGAUAACAUUUUGAACCGCAUGGUUCGAAAUUGAAAGGCGGCUUCGGCUGUCACUUAUGGCUGGACCCGCGUCGCAUUAGCUAGGUGGUGAGGUAACGGCUCACCAAGGCAACGAUGCGUAGCCGACCUGAGAGGGUGAUCGGCCACACUGGGACUGAGACACGGCCCAGACUCCUACGGGAGGCAGCAGUAGGGAUUCUUCCGCAAUGGACGAAAGUCUGACGGAGCAACGCCGCGUGAGUGAGGAAGGCUUUCGGGUCGUAAAACUCUGUUGUUAGGGAAGAACAAGUGCUAGUUGAAUAAGCUGGCACCUUGACGGUACCUAACCAGAAAGCCACGGCUAACUACGUGCCAGCCGCCGUAAUAC